rnacentral:rRNA from 1 species
CGGAACACGUACGCAACUUUCCUUUAACUGGAGAAUAGCCCUCGAAAGAGGGAUUAAUACACCGUAACAUAAUGAAGAGGCAUCUUUUUAUUAUUAUAGGCAGCAAUGCCGGUUUUGGAUGGGCGUGCGCCUGAUUAGGUAGUUGGUGCGGGUAACGGCCCACCAAGCCUGCGAUCAGUAACUGGUGUGAGAGCACGACCAGUCACACGGGCACUGAGACACGGGCCCG